rnacentral:misc_RNA from 1 species
AACGCACGAGACCUGCGGACCUGCGGAAGGAUCAUUGUGGGGAUUUUGAGCAAAAUUAGGAUUUUGACGCCCAGGGAAGGGGGGGGGGAGCCCCUCGCGAGUGCAGACGUGGUUGCCUGACAAAGAGUUUGGAUGGAUACAGGAGAAACAACUUUCAGCAAUGGAUCUCU